rnacentral:rRNA from 1 species
UACGUAGGAUGCAAGCGUUGUCCGGAUUUACUGGGCGUAAAGCGCGCGCAGGCGGCACUCUAAGUACGUCGUGAAAUAUCCCGGCUCAACCGGGAGGGUGCGAUGUAGACUAGGGAGCUAGAGGUCGGUAGAGGGGGGGGUGAAUUGCUGGUGUAGCGGUGAAAUGCGUAGAGAUCAGCAGGAACACCCGUGGCGAAGGCGGCCCCCCUGGGCCGUACCUGACGCUGAGGCGCGAAGGCUAGGGGAGCGAACGGG